rnacentral:rRNA from 1 species
AUUGAACGCUGGCGGCAGGCUUAACACAUGCAAGUCGAGCGAGCGGCGGACGGGUGAGUAAUGUCUGGGAAACUGCCUGAUGGAGGGGGAUAACUACUGGAAACGGUAGCUAAUACCGCAUACCCUCAGAUGUGCCCAGAUGGGAUUAGCUAGUAGGGGGGGUAAUGGGUCACCUAGGCGACGAUCCCUAGCUGGUCUGAGAGGAUGACCAGCCACACUGGAACUGAGACACGGCCCAGACUCCUACGGGAGGCAGCAGUGGGGAAUAUUGCACAAUGGGGGGAAGGCUGAGGCAGCAAUGCCGCGUGUGUGAAGAAGGCCUUCGGGUUGUAAAGCACUGUCAGCGAGGAGGCGUUACUCGCAGAAGAAGCACCGGCUAACUCCGUGCCAGCAGCCGCGGUAAUUC